UACGGGGGGGGCAAGCGUUUGUUCGGAAUUACUGGGCGUAAAGGGCUCGUAGGCGGCCAACUAAGUCCGACGUGAAAUCCCCAGGCUUAACCUGGGAACUGCGUCGGAUACUGGAUGGCUUGAAUUCGGGAGAGGGAUGCAGAAUUCCAGGUGUAGCGGUGAAAUGCGUAGAUAUCUGGAGGAACACCGGUGGCGAAGGCGGCAUUCUGGACUGUAACUGACACUGAUGAACGAAAGCCAGGGGAGCAAACGGG
rnacentral:rRNA from 1 species